rnacentral:rRNA from 1 species
UACGGAAGGCAGCAGUGGGGAAUAUUGCACAAUGGGCGAAAGCCUGAUGCAGCUAUGCCGCGUGUAUGAAGAAGGCCUUAGGGUUGUAAAGUACUUUCAUCGGGGAGGAAAAAACAAAACUAAUAAUUUUAUUUCUUGACGUUACCCGAAAAAGAAGCACCGGCUAACUCCGUGCCAGCAGCCGCGGUAAUACGGAGGGUGCUAGCGUUAAUCAGAAUUACUGGGCGUAAAGAGCAUGUAGGUGGUUUUUUUAAGUCAGAUGUGAAAUCCCUGGGCUUAACCUAGGAACUGCAUUUUGAAACUGAAAUACUAGAGUAUCGUAGAGGGAGGUAGAAUUCUAGGUGUAGCGGUGAAAUGCGUAGAUAUCUGGAGGAAUACCUGUGGCGAAAGCGGCCUCCUAAACGAAUACUGACACUGAGGUGCGAAAAGCGUGGGGAGCAAACAGGGAUUAGAUACC